GCCACAAAGCUAGCUCAAAUCCUACAGCAAAAUCCACAACCUAAAUACCUACUAAAAUAUGAAAAAUAAUAAACCAAAUCAUUUGACCUUCCCAGUAUGGGUGACAAAAAAGAAUCCACUGAAGCA
rnacentral:rRNA from 1 species